CCUCUUCCACCAGCUGCGGGCAGAUCAGGUGCACGUGGGAGUCGAUCGCCCCGGCGGUCAGGAUCUUGCCGUUGCCGGCCAGCACCUCGGUGGACGGCCCGAUCACCAGGUCCGGGUGCACCCCGUCCAUGGUGUCGGGGUUGCCGGCCUUGCCCAGCGCCACGAUCCGUCCGUCGCGGACGCCCACGUCCGCCUUGACGAUCCCCCAGUAGUCCAGCACCACCGCGCCGGUGAUCACCAGGUCCACGGCGCCCUCGGCGCGGGUGGUGCGGGCCUGGCCCAUCGAUUCGCGG
rnacentral:sRNA from 1 species